rnacentral:rRNA from 1 species
AGGACGAACGCUUGCGACGUGCCUAAGAAAUGCAAGUCGAACGGAUCAGCAGCAAUGCUGGUUAGUGGCGAACGGUCGCGUAACACGUGGGCAACCUGCCCUGAAGCGGGGGACAACAACUCGAAAGAGUUGCUAAUACCGCAUGUGAAUUGCUAUGGCAUCAUGGCGUAUUCAAAGCCGCAAGGCACUUCAGGAUGGGCCCCGCGGCCUAUCAGCUAGUUGGUGAGGUAACGGCCCACCAAGGCUUCGACGGGUAGCUGGUCUGAGAGGACGAUCAGCCGGAUUGGGACUGAGAUACGGCCCAGACUCCUACGGGGGGGCAGGCAAUUAGGAAUCUUGCGCAAUGGGCGAAAGCCUGACGCAGCGACGUCGCGUGAAGGAUGAAAUCUUUCGGGAUGUAAACUUCUUUUACCAGGGAAGAUAAUGACGGUACCUGGUGAAUAAGCCCGGCUAACUACGUGCCAGCAGCCGUGGU